ensembl:lncRNA
GGGCCAGCCCGGAAGCUGGCUUCCUCCAGGCUCCCCCUCUAGCUGCUGCCAAGCUGCCUCUCAGCCAGGCUGACGGAAACUUGGUUCCGCACUCACUGCCCAGGAGACGUGAGGGGUUUUCUCUUGGGGAGAAAUCAGUGGUCGGGCGCUGCCUGGUUCGAAUGCCACCCCACCGGAGGGAGGCCUGCAAGUGUAGGGGUCCCUGAGGGAGAGGAAGUCCUGGGACCAAGGAAACCAGCUUUUGGAGAUCGACCUUUCUGUGCAACGUCACACCUCCUGAGGGCAGCCAGGAGGACUCCGGCUUUUGCUGAGCAUUGCAUCUUACCUCCUUCCUUUCAAAGGCUCCAGAUCCCAGCUUACCUGUCCCCGAGUCCUGUGUGCCCCUAACCAGGCAUCCCACGACCCCUCCAGCCCAGCCCAGCCCUAGAACUCACCUCCAGGCCCUGGAGCCUGCCCUCCUGCCCAGAAUGACUCACCAUUAUUUCUAGCUCAAGUGAGAAGACAUGAUGGGGUGUCGGGCUGCCCGUUUGUAUAUCUAGGAUUCCUGAAGCAUCGGAUCAGCUCUGCAAGGAAGAGAGCUGCAGAUUCCUGCCUUGCCAGCCAAGCGAGGCUCUCUCUCCAGCUCUCAGGGAGCCCUGGGGGCUCUCCCGCUGGAACCCAGGCUGAUGCUGCUGUGUUUCCUGGGGCCGUAAGCACCAUCCCAAGCUCCCAGCCACCAGGCAGCUAGAAGGCACAGCGAGAGGCGCCUCUCCCGGUUCCAAUUAUGACAGUGGCCACUGGAGACCCAGCGGAUGAGGCUGCUGCCCUCCCUGGGCACCCGCAGGAUACCUAUGACCCAGAAGCAGACCACGAAUGCUGUGAGAGGGUGGUGAUCAACAUCUCAGGGCUGCGGUUUGAAACCCAGCUAAAGACCUUAGCCCAGUUUCCAGAGACCCUCUUAGGGGACCCAAAGAAACGGAUGAGAUACUUUGAUCCCCUCCGGAACGAGUACUUUUUCGAUCGGAACCGCCCGAGCUUUGAUGCCAUUUUGUACUACUACCAGUCUGGGGGCCGGUUAAGGCGGCCCGUGAAUGUGCCGUUAGACAUAUUCUCUGAGGAAAUUCGGUUUUAUGAGCUGGGAGAAGAAGCAAUGGAGAUGUUUCGGGAAGAUGAAGGCUACAUCAAAGAGGAAGAGCGUCCUCUGCCUGAAAAUGAAUUUCAGAGACAGGUGUGGCUUCUCUUUGAAUACCCAGAGAGCUCAGGGCCUGCCAGGAUUAUAGCUAUUGUGUCUGUCAUGGUGAUCUUGAUCUCAAUCGUCAGCUUCUGCCUGGAGACGUUGCCCAUAUUCCGGGAUGAGAAUGAAGACAUGCAUGGCAGUGGAGUGACCUUCCAUACCUACUCCAAUAGCACCAUCGGGUACCAGCAGUCCACUUCCUUCACUGACCCUUUCUUCAUCGUAGAGACCCUCUGUAUCAUCUGGUUCUCCUUUGAGUUCUUGGUGAGGUUCUUUGCCUGUCCCAGUAAAGCCGGCUUCUUCACCAACAUCAUGAACAUCAUUGACAUCGUGGCCAUCAUCCCCUACUUCAUCACCCUGGGAACAGAGCUGGCUGAGAAGCCAGAGGAUGCUCAGCAGGGUCAGCAGGCCAUGUCACUGGCCAUCCUUCGAGUCAUCCGGGAGAAGCUAACAAACCAAGGGACCUCUCAGCUUCAGAUUUCACCAUUUUUGCAGGCUUCAGGGUCACAAAAACAUGUCUGA